AGCGUAGGUGGCCUAACAUGUCAACUGUGAAAACCCCGGAGCUCAACUCCGGACUUGCAGUUGAAACUGGUAGGCUUGAGGACGGUAGAGGAAGACGGAACUGCCAGUGUAGGGGUAAAAUCCUUAGAUAUUGGCAGGAACGCCGGUGACGAAGGUGGUUUUCUGGGCCGGUUCUGACACUGAUGCUCGAAAGCCAGGGGAGCGAACG
rnacentral:rRNA from 1 species